AUUGAACGCUGGCGGCAGGCCUAACACAUGCAAGUCGAACGGUAACACGAAGAAGCUUGCUUCUUUGCUUACGAGUGGCGGACGGGUGAGUAAUGUCUGGGAAACUGCCUGAUGGAGGGGGAUAACUACUGGAAACGGUAGCUAAUACCGCAUAACGUCUCAAGACCAAAGAGGGGGACCUUCGGGCCGCUUGCCAUCGGAUGUUCCCAGAUGGGAUUAGCUAGUAGGUGGGGUAACGGCUCACCUAGGCGACGAUCCGUAGCUGGUCUGAGAGGAUGACCGGCCACACUGGAACUGAGACACGGUCCAGACUCCUACGGGAGGCAGCAGUGGGGAAUAUUGCACAAUGGGCGCAAGCCUGAUGCAGCCAUGCCGCGUGUAUGAAGAAGGCCUUCGGGUUGUAAAGUACUUUUAGCGGGGAGGAAGGGAGUAAAGUUAAUACCUUUGCUCAUUGACGUUACCCGCAGAAGAAGCACCGGCUAACUCCGUG
rnacentral:rRNA from 1 species